UACGGAGGGUGCAAGCGUUAUCCGGAUUCACUGGGUUUAAAGGGUGCGUAGGUGGGUUGGUAAGUCAGUGGUGAAAUCUCCAGGCUUAACUUGGAAACUGCCAUUGAUACUAUCAAUCUUGAAUACCGUGGAGGUCAGCGGAAUAUGUCAUGUAGCGGUGAAAUGCUUAGAUAUGACAUAGAACACCAGUGGCGAAGGCGGCUCACUGGCCCGUAACUGACGCUGAGGUGCGAAAGCGUGGGGAGCAAACAGG
rnacentral:rRNA from 1 species